rnacentral:misc_RNA from 1 species
AAAGUCGUAACAAGGUUUCCGUAGGUGAACCUGCGGAAGGAUCAUCACCAAUUGCUUUGAAGUAUCUUUACGAUAUUUUGAUAAAAACCCCCACAUUGGUAGACUAUUGAAAUCACGUGAACUAGUCGGGCUUAGCGAGCAUAGAGCAAUCAGUUAUUUAUUUAGCUAGCUGCUCUUGCCCGGCCGGCUUUUUCUCUUAAACUAUAUUAAACUUUUAACCCAUUAGCCAUAACAAGAAUUCAUAAUAAAAUACAACUUUCAACAAUGGAUCUCUUGGCUCUU